rnacentral:snRNA from 1 species
CCAGCUCUCUUUGCCUUUUGGCUUAGAUCAAGUGUAGUAUCUGUUCUUUUCAGUUUAAUCUCUGAAAUUGUUCUAAGGAACAAAACAUUGAUUAAUCUCAUUUUUGGAUCUCGCUGGUCAAAUCCCUCUGUGCUUGCGCAAUGGAUUUCUGGCACCGUGUCCGAGGCCUUACACUGUCGCCUUGUGAUGCGAAUCACC